rfam:Bacillus sp. CHD6a contig10, whole genome shotgun sequence.
AUUUACCACUAGGGGUGCCUUUAUAAGGCUGAGAUUGAAGUGUGACUUCAAGACUCUUAGAACCUGAUCUGGUUAACACCAGCGUAGGGAAGUGGGGUCGAAACACU